rnacentral:rRNA from 1 species
UAUUGGACAAUGGGCGAAAGCCUGAUCCAGCCAUGCCGCGUGUGUGAAGAAGGUCUUCGGAUUGUAAAGCACUUUAAGUUGGGAGGAAGGGCAGUUACCUAAUACGUGAUUGUUUUGACGUUACCGACAGAAUAAGCACCGGCUAACUCUGUGCCAGCAGCCGCGGUAAUACAGAGGGUGCAAGCGUUAAUCGGAAUUACUGGGCGUAAAGCGCGCGUAGGUGGUUUGUUAAGUUGGAUGUGAAAUCCCCGGGCUCAACCUGGGAACUGCAUUCAAAACUGACUGACUAGAGUAUGGUAGAGGGUGGUGGAAUUUCCUGUGUAGCGGUGAAAUGCGUAGAUAUAGGAAGGAACACCAGUGGCGAAGGCGACCACCUGGACUAAUACUGACACUGAGUGCGAU